UGGUUCCGGGCGUGGUUGUAGGAGGUAAAGUUGGUCCAAGCUUUCCUUAGGUGGGCAGCGGAAGGGACCAUUCCAGAUCGAAGGAAAGGAAACCCUCCCCCCACUUUAGAGGAAGUAAAAGUCGUAACAAGGUCUCCGUUGGUGAACCAGCGGAGGGAUCAUUA
rnacentral:rRNA from 1 species